ACAGUGGACGCGAGCAUCUGUGGCCAAGUUUUUAAGGGCGCACGGUGGAUGCCUUGGCACCAGGAACCGAUGAAGGACGUGGGAGGCCACGAUAGUCCCCGGGGAGUCGUCAACCAGGCUUUGAUCCGGGGGUUUCCGAAUGGGGAAACCCGGCAGUCGUCAUGGGCUGUCACCCGCUGCUGAACACAUAGGCAGUGUGGAGGGAACGCGGGGAAGUGAAACAUCUCAGUACCCGCAGGAAGAGAAAACAACCGUGAUUCCGGGAGUAGUGGCGAGCGAAACCGGAUGAGGCCAAACCGUAUGCGUGUGAGACCCGGCAGGGGUUGCGUGUGCGGGGUUGUGGGAUCUCUCUUUUACGGUCUGCCGGCCGUGAGACGAGUCAGAAACCGUUGAUGUAGGCGAAGGACAUGCGAAAGGUCCGGCGUAGAGGGUAAGACCCCCGUAGUCGAAACAUCAGCGGCUCGUUUGAGAGACACCCAAGUAGCACGGGGCCCGAGAAAUCCCGUGUGAAUCUGGCGGGACCACCCGCUAAGCCUAAAUAUUCCCUGGUGACCGAUAGCGGAUAGUACCGUGAGGGAAUGGUGAAAAGUACCGCGGGAGCGGAGUGAAAUAGUACCUGAAACCGUGUGCCUACAAGCCGUGGGAGCGUCGGAGCAAGGCUUGCCUUGUUCUCGUGACUGCGUGCCUUUUGAAGAAUGAGCCUGCGAGUUUGCGGUGUGUUGCG
rnacentral:rRNA from 1 species